rnacentral:snoRNA from 1 species
CCCCUCUCUGGAUCGCACCUGGAGAGUUUUCAGUACUCUACCAGUCUCGGCUAUGGGAGGGAGAGCCAAGCAGAGGCAUACCCAUUCCAUUCCUAGCUUGGGCAGUGCCUAGCGAGCGGAAGACAAUCUGCUACAAGU